rnacentral:rRNA from 1 species
GGUUGAUCCUGCCAGUAGUCAUAUGCUUGUCCUAAAGAUUAAGCCAUGCAUGUCUAAGUAUAUACCUUUAUACGGUGAAACUGCGAAUGGCUCAUUAUAUCAGUUAUAAUUUACAUGAUGAAAAGUUUACUACAUGGAUAACCGUGGUAAUUCUAGAGCUAAUACAUGCAAAAGUUGCCCGACUUUUUUAGGAAGGGAGCAAUUUAUUAGAUAAAAACCAAUUGCAGUCUUUGACUGGAAGCUGGUGAGUCAUGAUAACUAAAGGGAUCGUAUGGCCUUGAGCCGACGACGCA